rnacentral:lncRNA from 1 species
CCGAAUCUCUGCAAACCAAAGAUGCAUUCCCUGUCUCAUAUUAAUGCUGCAACAUAACUGAUAAGAUUUUGAGCGACUUUACGAGGACUGGCUUGAGAACACAGACUUCAGCGCAGCUGGGGACCUGGAUCCCAGCAGAACUGGCUCCCCUAGGUAAGCAAACCCUGGACUUUUCCUCCUACCCCAAAGGGAGAGGUGGGCUGGAGCUUCCUUCCUUCCACCAAAGAGUCUAGAGGG